AGUGAACGCUGGCGGUAGGCCUAACACAUGCAAGUCGAACGGCAACACAGUAAGAGCUUGCUCUUACGGGUGGCGAGUGGCGGACGGGUGAGGCAUACAUAGGAAUCUACUUUUUCGUGGGGGAUAACGUAGGGAAACAUACGCUAAUACCGCAUACGACCUACGGGUGAAAGCAGGGGAUAUUCGGAGCUUGCGCGAUUGAAUGAGCCGAUGUCGCAUUGGCUAGUGUGCGGGGUAAAGGCACACCAAGGCAACGAUGCGUAGCUGAUCUGAGAGGAUGAUAGCCCACACUGGAACUGAGACACGGUCCAGACUCCUACGGGAGGCAGCAGUGGGGAAUCUUCCGCAAUGGGCGAAAGCCUGACGGCGCAACGCCGCGUGAGUGAUGAAGGUCUUCGGAUCGUAAAACUCUGUUAUUAGGGAAGAAAAAAUGUGUAAGUAACUAUGCACGUCUGGACGGUACCUAAUCAGAAAGCCACGGCUAACUACGUG
rnacentral:rRNA from 1 species